rnacentral:rRNA from 1 species
CCUGCGGAAGGAUCAUUACUGAAGAACUGAUAGGGUUGAGCUGACUCUGCGGAGUAUGUGCUCGCACUAUCGCUUUUUCUAUUCUCCCUUGUGAACCCUUUGUAGGCUUUUUAUGAUAUUUGGCUUCUUUUAGUAGAAGGUCAUUGAGACUCGCGUCCUUGGAUGCUUGACUCUACCCUUAUCAUAUUAGUCUAUGAUUUUAUAUAUCUACUCUUCGGUUUAUGAAUGUUACUUUGUUGGUUUUAAAUACCAAUAAAUUGUUUGUACAACUUUCAGCAACGGAUCUCUUGGCUCUCGCAUCGAUGAAGAACGCAGCGAAAUGCGAUAAGUAAUGUGAAUUGCAGAAUUCAGUGAAUCAUCGAAUCUUUGAACGCACCUUGCACUCCUUGGUAUUCCGAGGAGUAUGCCUGUUUGAGUGUCAUUAAAUUCUCAAACUUUUUCCUUGUUAACCUGGGAGACAGUUUGGAUUAUGAGAGCUGCUGGUUUUUCUUAAAUCAGCUCUCUUCAAAUGCAUUAGUAGUUUUGGCUUCGUUCCACAUUCUCAAUUGAUGUGAUAGUUAUCUACAUCAUUAGAGAUUGAAUCUGCUUAUAACCGUCUUUUGACNAACUCUGAUAAUUUGACCUCAAAUCAGGUAGGACUACCCGCUGAACUUAAGCAAU